rnacentral:rRNA from 1 species
GACGGGGCCCGCACAAGCGGUGAAGCAUGUGGUUAAUUCGAAGCAACGCGAAGAACCUUACCAGGUCUUGACAUCCCUGACAACCAAGAGAUUGGGCGUUCCCCUCGGGGGACAGGGUGACAGGUGGUGCAUGGUUGUCGUCAGCUCGUGUCGUGAGAUGUUGGGUUAAGUCCCGCAACGAGCGCAACCCUCGCCUCUAGUUGCCAGCAUUCGGUUGGGCACUCUAGAGGGACUGCCGGCGACAAGUCGGAGGAAGGUGGGAUGACGUCAAAUCAUCAUGCCCCUUAUGACCUGGGCUACACACGUGCUACAAUGGGCGGUACAAAGGGCUGCGAACCCGCGAGGGGGAGCGAAUCCCAAAAAGCCGCUCUCAGUUCGGAUUGCAGGCUGCAACUCGCCUGCAUGAAGCCGGAAUCGCUAGUAAUCGCGGAUCAGCAUGCCGCGGUGAAUACGUUCCCGGGCCUU